ACACACACUGAGGUCAGGAGCCCUGAGAUAGAUCACUGGGAAGCUUAAAUAUGGUGAUAGGAUCUGCACACCAGAAGAGCCUAGCAUAAAUGUAGAACAACCAAGUAUGAGAAUGAAAUGGCCAACCCCACGCACAAAGGAAGGAAGAAGAUUUCUUGUCACUCCAACAACAAAAAAAUGACAAGGUGGAAAAGGCAAUCAUGAAUGUAACGUUAGGCCAUCAACAGAAUUUGAAAAAAAUGAAGAAAGCAAAAAAACCAACAAUAUUAGUCUGUUACUACAGCACGAACAAGAAAAUCCCUCAGAAUCAGCUGGAGUAUAAACAAGAGACCCCAGAGAGCUCUGACAAUCCAAGUAAUGGCCUGUGAGUGGCAGGGGCCAGAGAUCUGGGCCUAUCUCCUGUGUCUCAUGAGGGUGCAAUGGAGAAAUAGCCAUUACACAGAGACCACAUCUGAAAAAUGGUGGUGAUGAUGACAGUAAAAUCAAGUUAUCAACAA